rnacentral:lncRNA from 1 species
UUUCAUAUGUAGGUCUGUGGAAGUCACAGAGGUAUAUGGGAAGAAUACAUUGCUAUCCCAAACAACACACACACACACUCUAAUCAAAUGUUUGUCUGCAAUAAGAAGCAAGAAUGAAUGAUCCAAAUAAGAGCAUUAAACAAAGACCUGAGGGUCAUUAAGGCUUCAGGCCUUUGAACUAACUAGAUAAACAGAAGCCUCGUCAGCAGUCAGGGCUAGAUUUUCUUUCUGCUGUAGGAUGUGUUCUGUGCAGGGUUUGGAGAGCAAGCACCUCCUUCUCUCCACACCCUUAUUUAAACAGGCUUGUAAAAGCUGGGGAAGAGAGCACAAAGCCUAAUGUCACUGAUAUUGCUGGCAAUACUGAUGUCAUGUUGGCUGUAUCUACAUAGCCCUGUUUCUAAAACAAUAGACUUGCAUUGUGUGCUGUCAUGGCUGGCUCUUCUCUUUCAUUCCCUUUAUUAUGUUUUUGAAGUGACUUUGAUGUGUAAAUGCAAAGGAACACAUGAAGGAGGGUGAGGGGUGGUGAUGAGUGCCCUGUAGGCUGCAGGUUGUUUGUCCAUCAGACACAAUCACACUCUGCUUUAGAAAACUGUCAAAGCCACCAGCAAGGCUCUAAAAGACUUUUUUUUUUAAAUCGUGAAUACACAUGAGCCACUUCACAGAUUGUAUUUGUAAUUAAUAGAAGGCCUAAGGUAUUCUUUCUCUAAUUCUAAAAGAUGUGCAGACACAAAGACAUUUCUUGAAAUUGUCAUAGCAGUUUGUCUCAAACCACUCAAGGACACAGUUUCAACUCCUAGUGAAAGCAACAGAGUCAGCUGCAGGUCAAAUGGCCACAUGAUAUUUCAGAAGAGCCGGUUUAGGAGUUCCCGUCAUGGCGCAGUGGAAAUGAAUCUGACUAGGAACCAUGAGGCUGUGGGUUCAAUCCCUGGCCUCGCUCAAUGGGUUAAGGGUCUGCCAUUGCUGUUACCUGUGGUGAAGGCCGCAGAUUCAGCUCUCAGCUCGGAUUCUGCAUUGCUGUGCCUUGUGGUAUAGGCUGGCAGCUGUAGCUCCGACUUGACCCUAGCCUGGGAACCUCCAUAGGCCACAGGUGUGGCCCUAAAACAAACAAACAAACAAAAAAAAAGACCCAGGCUAAAAACUCCAGGAUGAGGAAGUAGACGUGCACAGAGUGCCAGCAUCUUGGCUGCUGCCUUCAAAUUUUUAUAUAUGCUCACAUUUACCCCUCAUACCAUCACUGGAAAGGAGCAUAUCAUUUAGAUUCUCAUGACUUGACCAAAGAUGCUUAAAUAGGGUAGUGGUAUAUUUCUUUCCCAUACAGAGUUGUUGGAAAGAGUCCAAUCAAGUAUGAAGGCUCCAUAAAGUCAGUGGGGGUCAAAGGCUCCUUCUAUCUUUAUCCUUUUGUCUCCCUAGCAUAUCCUAAAGGCCAAAAGAUAGCUACUAGAGCUCCAGCUAUUAUAGCUGCAUCCCUGGUAGGAAUAGUGAAAGAGCAAGAUGGCAAAAAGAGCUUCUUCAAGUUCCAUUUUGUGACUAUUACCUGUAAUCUCUUAGCUGCCAUCAUUGUCAUUCCGCUGAAAAAAUCAUGUUCUCUAUCCAAACAAGAGUGGAGAAGGAUAUUAAAUAAAUUAGCAGUCUCUGGCCAGACAAGAAUAAGUAUUUCAAUUAAAAACUGAGUUUCCAUGAGAUAAAGGACCCAAACCUAAGUCAUCAUCAACCCAGAAAAUGGUGACAAUUUUCUGUGAGAAAAUAAGUAUGUGAACCACCAAGGUCAGAGCUUGAACCUAAGCAGGGACUAAGGUUGGUUCAAGCUCAUCUGUCAUGGGUUUAAUGGGUUGAAUUGCAUAAGCAGGUUAGAAUUGAAGUGUUUUGAUGGAAUGAACAGAAAAGUCAGUGUAUGCAGAGAAUGUGGCCCUGAGAAGGGCUAUGUGGAAAAGGGAUGUGAAGGAGAACUAUCACCUGCCUGGGGUAUCUUUUCCCCAGAAUAGCUCCAUGAACACAUAACCACCCCUCACGUCAUAAAGGGAGUUGACCAAAGAUAAGGAGGAAUUCUGAAUGCUAAGUUGCUUUGCCUCUGUCAACAUGGAGUGGGAAAGAAGGUGCCUAACCAACGUUUUUGAAAAUGCAGUGUGCCUUGAGCUCAGGGAGACCUUCAGGGAUGUCAGCAAUUUGUCCAGGGUUUGCAGUUUUUAGGGAGGUGUGUUCUUGCUUAGGGGGAACUAUCAUCAUGAACCUUGGAAAUGUAAGGUCUGUGUGAAGAUGCUUGAGGGUGUAAUCACACCAUUCCAUGCUCCACGUUGGCCACCAGUUGAUGGAUGUGUUUAUAGCCAGCUUUCCAUGCCCAAAUCCUAACUGAACUUUGAAGUAAGAGAUUAUUUCUAGGGCUGGCAAACACAUCCAAGACUAUUGACCACAGUCGAAUAUAAGGUUUCAUGGGAUGCUUGAAUCCUCAAACUGGUCAGCCUUAUGCUAACCCACAGCAUGCCUGCUCCCUGGGGAUGCUUUGCAUGGAGUGGAGCUGGGAGAACCCUAGGCUUACAGUUUGAUUUUUGUGUACUCAAAUCUCCUUCUCUCUUAUACUCUUAAACCCAUAAUUCUAAAAGAGUUUUCUAUGGCCAUAAUUAACAAUUUCCUAAUGAGGAUUUUCUUUUAAUUAUCAGGGAAAAGGCAUUUCUUAAUUAAUAGAAAGGAGGAUUUGUUUCAUCCAGCUUAAUUAUUGCUGGGAAUGUGUCCCAAGCCCACCAGGCAGAAGGUAUUUAGAGUGAGCAUAUUGGCAACAAAGUUAAACAGCUUGGGGUUUGGUCCUAAUAAGGUGGACCACAGUAAUGAAGUUGGGUGUUAUGCAUAGGUAAUCUUCAGGGGGUCCAGGAAUUCAUAAGGCUUGAUACAAUCUCUUCCAUAACUUUAUCCACUUUCCAGUAGGGUUUCUGGUGGUAGACAUGUGUAAGCAAUAGUCUCAGGGGUCGCUGUCAUCCCAACAGUACAACACGUACUUGCUUUCACUGCAAGGUGGUACAGUCACCUGUCGUUAUGAGAGUCAGAUGUGUUGCCAAGGGAGCCGAAGCCCUGAGUUGAAAAAACACCUGGACUCCUGCAACCAGCUUUCUCUUUCCACUUAUUACUACAGAAUAUUCAGUCUUCAUAUCACCUCUUUCCUUUCAUCCAUCUCUACCACUCAUGAUUCACAUUUUCCAGCUCACCCUAACCACCACUUCCCUUCCUGUCUCACAAAGUUGCCCACAGUGAUGUCUGGAAUUGCACCUUUAUGUUUAACAAGUGUGCUUCUACUUUCAUUCUCAGCCAUUUUUCUGAGUGUUUGCCCCAUCCCCCACCCCUUCCUGAAACCUGUCAGCUAUUGACACACCUUCUCCAGGAAGAGCUGAUUUUCAUUUGUUCUUCAUGCCCCUCCUGGUCUGAAAGUGAGUUUGGUUUGGUGUCCCACUGAUUCCCCACUGCCCUUCUAAUAGCAUCUACUCUUUAAGUUCUUGAGGAAUGAAAUAGUAUUCCCUGAGACACAUUAUAACACAAUGGCUCCAGUCUUGAUUAUUGUCAUCUAUUGACUUUUUCAAACCUCAUCUUUAUUAAAUGGUGGCAUUCCUCCAGUUCCACACCAUGGCCUUGACAGCCUCAUAUCCAAAAAUUGUUUCUGUCACCCUAUCAUAUCCAUCCACUGCCAUGAUCAUGCCUCAGACAUAACUGUCUCCUCUAUACUAAUCCAGUAGAUCUGCUCUCAAAAUCCUCAUCUCCUCCUGACUAGCUUGUUCAAUAUUCCUUGAUCUGCUCUUAUUAACCUCAUAAGCAUCUCUAAUAUCUUGAUCCCUCCCUUUUUAUACUGGGCCAGCAGCCCUAAUAUUUUCAUUUCCUUCCUUAUUCUGCUUCGAUUGUUGGCCCAUCAAUACAGUAAUGCCAGUCCCUUCUCACAUCGCAGAGUAUAAAGAAUAUUUCCAAGUCCUGAUCUUACUUGAAAUCUCAACACUAUUUAAUCUUGUUGCAUCCACCCUCUCCCUCUGUUGACUUUCCUUUCCUCUGGACACUAGUGGUGGAUUGGAUUGCACUCUGCUUUCUUUCCUCUUGUUCCCUGGCUGCUUCUUUACAGUCACCUUUGCAAGCUCAGCUGCUGCUUCUCAGACAUGAGAUGUUAGAGUCCUUCCACAUCCCCUCUCAGGUCCUUUCCUAAUAUCACCCUGUACCCUCUUCUCUGGCAACAUUCUUUUACCACCUCUGUGCCCAAGACUUCCAUAUCUUUAACUAGAGUUCUGUCUCUCUAUACUUGUGUAACUUCUUCCUGUGAAUGUCUCAAGGGCACAUGAAAUUCACCUUGCUGAUGACUGAAAUCUCAAGGAUCCCAUUUAACUUGGUUAUCUUCCAGUGGUCAGUCCUCAAGCUAACACCCUAUCCUCAACAAAUUCCAUAAGGUAAAAGCCUAAGCCUUCUCUUUGACACUACUCUCUCCCUUAUUCACAAUUUUAAAAAUUUGAUUUCCAGUCUGUCAGACCCAUCCACUUCCUUUCAUCUUUGUUUGCAGCAUGAUAGAGUUACCAUUUAUAAUUUUGUGGACUAGCACUGAAGAAUUUCCAGUCCGGUACUGCCAUGUGUUUAGUCCUUUGCACCUCUUCUCCUCUGUAACUAGUGUUCUGUUUAAACUACAAGAACUUCUCUCUCCACCAUUAAAACCCAUCAGUGGCUUCUGGUUACUCAACUUGCUUUUCUACAGGCAAACAAUGCCACCUCUCCUUAUUCUUAAAACUCUAGCCAUUUGUUCACUCUUACUUUUACUUGAGUAUGCUAACAAAUAUGUGUGAAUUGGCUUAACCCAUCCAUGGUACAUAAUAAAUAUGUAGUUUAGUGGGGCUCUUGCAAAUCCUAUAAAAACUUUUAUGCAAUAGUGAUUCUAAAUAGACAUUUUUCCAUUGCUUUGAGGAUCAGUGGCACUAAAUUAAAGUGUAAAGUGACUUGUGUGCUUUUGACUCGAGUCUACAACAGAAUCUCCUGGCCUCUGUCCAGGUUCCUCACUUCAGGUUCUAGUACUGACAGAAAAAUGAGGGACAGCAGGCCUUUGAACUCAGGAGUUGUCAAAGCAUAGCCUUAGGCCCAGUGGAAGCUGGCAGGCUUGUGAGAUGACUCACAUGGCCAGUUCCUCCCUAUGUGGCACACAGAUUUUUGUCUUUCUACAAAAGCACGCAGUAGCCUCGAGGAAGUGUGAAGAUUCUGAAUUUAAACAAUACCCAAAAGUGGCCCUUUAAUGCCUCAGGUCCAUGGCGGACCUGAAGAACAAUGUCCUCACCACAAGGGGCAGGACCGAUGAUCUGAAGCUAAAGUUGCUUUCCAGCUGUGGUUUUUCAACAGUAGAGGGCUCAGCCCAUGGAGUCCACAGACUCUAACAAGAUCUUUAGCACAGUGCCCAAAAUGCUUUAACUCUAAUCACCACUCACUGGGAGUCAAGGCUUGCUUUUGUCUAACUCAUAGGCUGAGAGAAUGAGAAUCUCAAAAGGAG